UGGAGUUGCGGGAGCAAGAUGACUACGAGGUUGUGAGGAAGGUGGGAAGAGGGAAAUAUAUUGAGGUCUUUGAGGGCGUUCACUCCACCGAUAAUGAAAAAUGCAUCAUCAAGAUCCUCAAACUCGUCAAGAAGAAAAAGUUUCAGUAUACUUUUUCACUUCAUUCCAUCCUCAUAUGGCAAUGAAUGCUGUGCCGGGGCUUCAAUGGCCAACUUUGGUCCAGUAGUUCAUUUAGUUUGUUAUUAAAUUUCUAAUUUCAAACCUUUAAAGAGGGAGAUCAAAAUAUUGCAUAAUCUUUGUGGAGGUCCCAAUGUUAUAAAGCUGCUUGACAUUGUUAGGGACCAGCAAUCAAAGACCCCAAGCCUUAUAUUUGAAUAUGUCAAUAACACUGAUUUUAAAGUGCUCUACCCCACCCUGUCAGAUUAUGAUAUUCGAUAUUAUAUCUAUGAACUUCUAAAGGUAAGUUUUAUACUCUAUUGGUUGUCUAAGAUCAGCUGUUAUAUCUUAUUUUUGCAGUCAUUAUUUGUUUGACAUAUUUCUAGACAUUAUCUAUGCCAAUGCUUCGUGGAAAAUUCAGUUAUUAUUUUUGUAUUUUUCUUUAUGGUGAAAUAUUAGAAAGUGGUUGAGUAAUUGCUGCAUAGCUCUUUGACAGCUUCUUCUACAUUAAUCCUCUAAUAGAUGCAAUUAAAGAAUGAAUUGGUUGAGGUUUGAAAUAGGUUGUAGAGUGGCUUGUAAGGAAGUUGAUUUUGAUUUUUGAAAAUCACUUCCAUUGCUUAUAAAUAAUGCAUAGCAGGAAAAUAGACUUUUUCACUAAAUGCACUUGUAAUAUCAAUAUCUACUAAGUUGAUAUUUAGUCUUUGAAGAUAAUACAAUCAAGGCAAGGAGAUAUUGGGAACUACUACGGUGUUCAGCUUCUUGAUGCUUCAGUGACAAAAUACCAAGAUUAUGGUCACUAACAACUUACUCACCCUCUUGUGAUAUACAUUGGAGAGACACGUGGAGUGGAGGGAUUGGGUGAGAGGUUAGAGGAAAGGGUCAAAGUUCCCUUCAAAUCUGAAGGGAAGGGAAACUUCAGAACAGUGAGCUUCAAGUUCAAAGCAGUUGCACCAAGAACAAGACUCACAUUCUACAGCUCCUUUUACCAUACCAGAAUUGAUGAUUAUGGAUCUCUCUGUGGCCCUGUUCUUGACCAGGUUAUAGUGUUCUCUGUCGCAUAAGUUAUUAAACCAUUAAUGUAGUACUUAGUAACUAUGAUUUUUGCAAGUUACUUGAGCCUGUCUUCUAUAUAAUUGCACGAGACCACCUUAUAUUAAAACUUCAUCUUGCUUUUGUAUACUAAUUCCCUAUAUUUUGUUCAUGUAUGCAUUAAAUAACCUUAUACUUUCUAAACUUAUAGCUAAUUAGUUAGCAACAUCAUGAUAGUGGAAGCAACAUGUUCACUUGAGUGUGUAAUUCAAAAUAUUAAGCAAAUUAACAUCCUGAACAGAAAGGACUUGAAGAAUUCUAAAAAGAACAAUACUAAGAUUGGUAGUUACCCCUCAUAUACGCUGCCAAUGUCUGAUUAAAAUUGCAGAGUUAGCUUUUUAAGAAGCAAUGAACAUUGAAUCAUGACGGUGUAUCACGGUGUAGCGCAGGGAGGCAGUCUGAGAUCAAAUGGCUCUCCUUUUCGUCACACUCGUAUCGUACCUUUGUCGAUAUUAAGGACAAGUGGAGGAAUUUCCUCAAGGCUAGCUUUGCUCAGGCACCUGCAGAUGAAGGGAUGAACGUGCGGAAGCAUGGUAUAGCGCCAAUCCUAGAACCGAUUUUUCUACGAGUACGAGAGAUUAAAAAGGGGGCUGCUUCCGUGGAAGGAGUAGAAGCAAAAUUCUAGCAGGUACCUGAAACACUGCCUGAAGAGGUACUUGGGAAGAUGGGAGCACCUCCAAAGAGUGAUGUGCCGAUUAUUACACCCAAUGAGCUACCUGAGGUUGCUGGUUUAUUGCUUGGAUUUCCAACGAGAUUUGGACUCAUGGCUGCUCAGUUUAAGGCAUUCUUGGUUGCAACUGGAGGCCUAUGGUGUACACAGGCACUAGCAAGAAAGCCUGCUGGAAUUUUUUACAGCACCGGUUCUCAAGGAGGCGGACAGGAAACCACCUCAUAAUAUUUAUUCACACGGACAUGAACAAUGAAAAUGUUGGAAGGGUCUGUUGCAAACUUUUUGAGCAUCUCUAAGAAAACUCCCAAUGUAAUAGAACUAAUAAUAUUUCUUAGUUUGAUAUUUUGUAUAGGAAUUAUUACUUUUGAUUUGUAAUACUAAAAAAUUAUAUAUUAUGUUUAAUACUGAGUUAAAUAAUAUUUUGUCUAUGGAUUAUGAUUUUGUUA